rnacentral:rRNA from 1 species
AGACGUCUACAUUAGAUACCCCCGUAGUCCCAGCCGUAAACUAUGCGCGUUAGGUGUAUCGGUGACCACGAGUCACCGAGGUGCCGAAGGGAAACCGUGAAACGUGCCGCCUGGGAAGUACGGUCGCAAGGCUGAAACUUAAAGGAAUUGGCGGGGAGCACCACAACGGGUGGAGCCUGCGGUUUAAUUGGACUCAACGCCGGGAAGCUCACCGGAUAAGACAGCGGAAUGAUUGCCGGGCUGAAGACUCUGCAUGGCUAGCUG